rnacentral:rRNA from 1 species
GGAGUUAGCCGGUGCUUCUUCUGUGAGUGAUGUCCUUCCUGCCGGCUAUUAACCCGCAGGCCUUCUUCCUCACUGAAAGUGCUUUACAACCCGAAGGCCUUCUUCACACACGCGGCAUGGCUGGAUCAGGGUUGCCCCCAUUGUCCAAUAUUCCCCACUGCUGCCUCCCGUAGGAGUCUGGGCCGUGUCUCAGUCCCAGUGUGGCUGAUCAUCCUCUCAGACCAGCUACGGAUCGUCGCCUUGGUGAGCCGUUACCUCACCAACCAGCUAAUCCGACAUAGGCUCAUCCGAUAGCGCGAGGCCCGAAGGUCCCCCGCUUUCCCCCGUAGGGCGUAUGCGGUAUUAGCCUGGGUUUCCCCAGGUUAUCCCCCACUACCGGGCAGAUUCCUAUGCAUUACUCACCCGUCCGCCGCUCGCCACCAGGGAGCAAGCUCCCCGUGCUGCCGCUCGACUUGCAUGUGUUAGGCCUGCCGCCACGCGUUCAUCUGAGCANAAUACGAACCUACGUACGACGAGACGGCGGUCGUCGACGACGGCG